GUACCGUGAGGGAAAGAUGAAAAGCACUUUGGAAAGAGAGUUAAACAGUACGUGAAAUUGCUGAAAGGGAAACGCUUGAAGUCAGUCGCGUUUGCUAGUACUCAACCUGUCUUUUGACUGGUGCACUUACUAGUACACGGGCCAGCAUCAGUUUUGGCUGCGGGAAAAAGGUUAGAGGAAUGUGGCACCUUCGGGUGUGUUAUAGCCUCUGAUCAUAUACCGUGGCUGGGACUGAGGAUCUCAGCACGCCUUUAUGGCGGGGGUUCGCCCACCUUCGUGCUUAGGAUGCUGGCGUAAUGGCUUUAAACGACCCGUCUUGAAACACGGACC
rnacentral:rRNA from 1 species